UCUCCCUGACCACUCUGCCCCUGGUCCUGCCUACCCACCUGGUCACAUUUCCCCCUGGCUGCUCUGGCUGGGGCUCUCCCUGUUUCUGCCUGGCUGACCCACCCUUUCCCUGGCAGGAUCUGCCCUGUGGCCCAAAUGGGCAUGUUGCCCAGGGGGCUCCCUGGCACUAUGGGGGAAGAGUCUCUCCUUCCCCUCUUAUCAUCUCAGUUGAGUCAGACUUGGGGGAGGGGGAUACACAGUGUGAGUCACUGGGUACCCUUUUCCUGAGCUCAGCUUCAUACCGAGGCGAUGAGGCCAAACGGGCUGGUGACAGGGACACUGAGUCAGGGGCAGGGGCCCCGGUCUUACUCCUGGGCCUCUGGAUUUGGGCCCUACAUGAGGCUUUUCUAUCUGUAAAGUCAAGCAAUGGCUGGGAGGCACACACAACCCCCCGCCCCCCCGCAGGCUUCUCCUUCAUUGGCCCGGGCAAGGUCCCUGCUUCCUCUCAGGCCGUCUCUGCACAAGCACACACACUUCCCUUCCCUGUCCACAGGUGGACAAUGCCCUGGGCUAGGAGCCAGCCCUCGCAGGCCCUGUCAACAGCCUGCCACCAACUAGUCUAGAAAAUUCUGUGAACACCAGAUCAGUGGGUUUUGCCCUAAUCACUGGCCUCAGUUUCCCCAUUUACCUCUUCAGCCCGUGCGGGGUGUGGAGGGAGCAUAUUUCAUUCCUGACAGUUUGGUGUGUUGGGUGUGGAUGGAGAACUGUCGGCCCUCCCCGC
rnacentral:lncRNA from 1 species